GGUGGCUCAGUGGUAGAGUACUUGCCUCACAAGCAUGAGGUUCUGGGUUCGAUUCCUCAGUACCA
rnacentral:tRNA from 1 species